CAUGUAGGCGGCAUGUUAAGUCAGAUGUGAAAGCCCUUGGCUCAACUGAGGAAGUGCAUUUGAAACUGGCAAGCUAGAGUACGGGAGAGGGUUGUAGAAUUCCCGGUGUAGAGGUGAAAUUCGUAGAUAUCGGGAGGAAUACCGGUGGCGAAGGCGGCAACCUGGACCGAUACUGACGCUGAGAUGCGAAAGCGUGGGGAGCAAACAGGAUUAGAUACCCUGGUAGUCC
rnacentral:rRNA from 1 species